UACGGAGGGGGCUAGCGUUGUUCGGAAUUACUGGGCGUAAAGCGCGCGUAGGCGGACCUGCAAGUCGGAUGUGAAAGCCCACGGCUCAACCGUGGAAGUGCAUCCGAAACUGCAUGGCUAGAGUCUCGGAGAGGAAGGUGGAAUGCUUGGUGUAGAGGUGAAAUUCGUAGAUAUCAAGCAGAACACCUGCGGCGAAGGCGGCCUUCUGGACGAUGACUGACGCUGAGACGCGAAAGCCUGGGGAGCAAACAGG
rnacentral:rRNA from 1 species